rnacentral:rRNA from 1 species
GACCAAGGAGUCCGACCCGUGCGCGAGUCGCAGGGUCUUGUUCAGGCCCCGUGGCGUAGCGAAAGCGAAGCCGGGACUCCCUUUUACCGGGAAGCACCGGCGACCCGGCGGUUCUGUCGGUGGUCGGGCGGCUCAGCCUAUUGCAGGUGAACCGUCCCGCACGGCACGUCGGAGUCUGAGCGCACGAGUCGGUACCCGAAAGAUGGUGAACUAUGCCUGGCCAGGGCGAAGCCGGAGGAAACUCCGGUGGAGGCCCGAAGCGGUUCUGACGUGCAAAUCGAUCGUCGGAGCGGAGUAUAGGGGCGAAAGACUAAUCGAACCAUCUAGUAGCUGGUUCCCUCCGAAGUUUCCCUCAGGAUAGCUGGCAUUCGGGAGAAACUCAGUCUCUCCUCGUAGAGAGAAUGAAUAGAGGCCCUGGGGCCCUAGACGACCUCAACCUAUUAUCAAACUACUACGAGGUGCGUCGUAACUUCCUGCCUGUCGGAGGAAGUUACUUUGUUUGGAACGGAUGUACGAGUGCCGUGUGGGCCAAUUUUG